AUGGAUAUGCACCCUAUCCAAAUCCGAUCAAAUCCGAAAAAUAAGAUUUGACCGGAUUUAGGUUUGAAUUUGGGUAAAAUCUGAAAACUACAGCACAGAUAUGGGUAAGAUAUGGGUAAUGCUAUUUUUUAUCCAAACUCGAAUCCGAAUCCGAUCUAAACCUAUGGAUAUGGGUAAUAUCCGAAUCCAUAUCCGAAUAUAUAUGUUUAUAAUUCUGUUUUGAUAAUUCUGUUUUGAUUGACAAUAUGCAUAAAAUUAUUUUAGUUGUUUAUGUGUUCUAUGUUGAAUUGUAAUUCUAUUUUUAUGUUUGAUUUCUAGAAAUCUAGAUUUAUAAAUUAUAUUUUAUGUUGAAUUGGUAAUUCUGUUUUAGUUGAUAAUAUGCAUAAAAUUAUUUUGAUUGUUUAUUUUUUUGGAUAUGAGAUGCAUGUGAGGCGGAUAUGG
rnacentral:lncRNA from 1 species